rnacentral:lncRNA from 1 species
UUUUUUUUUUUCUUUUCUUUUUUCUUCCCUUUCCUUCCUUUCUUUUUGGUUUAGAGAAGCCCUUUCAAUAUUUCCUUUAACCUGGGUUUUGUGUUGCUGUAUUCUUUAAGUUUUUGUUUGUUGGGAAAAAUUUUUAUUUCCCCUUCUAUUUUAAAUGAUAUUCUUGCUGGAUAAAGUAUUCUAGGUUGCAUAUUUUUUCCUUUGAGCACUUUAAAUAUCUCUUGCCAUUCCCUCCUGGCCUGUAGUGUUUCUGUAGAGAAAUCAGCUGAUAUUCUUAUGGGGGUUCCCUUGUAGGUAACAUUCUGUUUUUCUCUUGCUGCCUUUAGGAUCCUCUCUUUAUCACUAACUUUUGCCAUUUUUAUUAUGAUGUGUCUUGGUGUGGGUCUGUUUGGGUUCAGUUUGUUUGGGGCCCUCUGUGCUUCUUGUAUCUUGAAUCCAGUAUCCUUUAGAUUUGGGAAGUUUCCAGCGAUAAUUUCUUCAAAUAUAUUUUCCAUUCCUUUAUCUUUUUCUACUCCUUCUGGAAUUCCUAUUAUGCGUAGAUUGGCCCGUUUUAUAUUAUCCCAUAGGUCUCUUAUAUUGCUUUCCAGUUUUUUGAUUCGGUUUUCUGUCUGUUGACCAGAUUGAGUGAUUUCCAUUAUUCUAUCUUCCAUAUCACUGAUUCGUUCUUCUGCAUUAUUCAUUCUGGUUUUUACUGCCCCUAGUUCAGUUUGCAUCUCUGCAAAUGAAUGUUCUAGUUUUUCUUGGCUCCUCCUUAUAUUUUCUAGCUCCUUUCUGAGGGUAUCUGCAUUGCUGUUCAUAUCUUCUCUUAAUUCCUUCAGUAUUUUCACUAUUUCUCUUUUGAACUCCAGGUCUGUCAGACUGCAGAGAUCAGUUUCAUUGUUGACUGUUUUAGGUGAGUUCUCCUGUUGGUUUGACUGGGGGUGGUUUCUCAGCUUCUUCAUCUUGCUUGUUGUCUUCUUUCUCCUGAGGGAGUUGUACUCUCCGUUAUCGGGUAGUGUUUGCCUUGUCACUGCCCUGGAAUAUUUCCUGAGGGCUGUCGUUGUUGGUCAAUCUUUUUUUGAGGCAGUGUGGCUUUUCUGGAGUGUUGAUGGGACUAACAGUGUUUCUUUGAAGCAAAGGAGGACUUCCUGAGGGCAGACAGGACUGGGAGGUCCACCCCACGAUGGUAGCAGAUUUCACUUGGUUCUCAGCACCCCCUGGGGUCUUGGGCGGGGGGUUGGCGGUGUUGGGCAGCUGCUCUUCAGGGGUGCAUCACCCCCUGGGGGCUGGAGCAGCUAUCUGGGUCACUGAGAACCUAAGAGGCUCUCUCCUUGGGCAGCCCAACUCAGAAGGAGGGCCUGAGAAUGUAGGCGGAUCUUUUCACAGUCUGGCCGAGCUUGUUGCAGCUUUUCUGGGCUGCAGGGGCUCUUCCAGGGGGCUGGUGGUGCUGAGUAGCUAUUCCUUGGGAGUGGGGCACCCCCUGGGGCUUGGGUAGGUAGCAGGGCCCCUGGAAACCCAAGAGGCUCCUCCCUGGGGCAGCCUGACUCAGAUAAACUGUCUGAGAUCUUUUUCCGACUCGGCCAGGCUUGUUGCAGCUUUUCUGGGCUGCAGGGGGUCCUGCCUGGAGCUGGCAGUCCUAUGCAGCUGGUCCACUAGGUCUCAGCAUCUCCUGGGGGCUUGGGCAGGUAGCAGGGCCGUUGGAGACCCAAGAGGCUCCUCCCUGGGGCAGCCUGACUCAGAUAAACUGUCUGAGAUCUUUUUCCGACUCGGCCAGGCUUGUUGCAGCUUUUCUGGGCUGCAGGGGGUCCUGCCUGGAGCUGGCAGUCCUAUGCAGCUGGUCCACUAGGUCUCAGCACCCCCUUGGGCUUGGGCGUGUAUCAGGGCAGUUGGAAACCUAAGAGGCUCCUCCCCGGGGCAACCCGACUCAGAAAAACCAUCCGAGAAUUAGGCCGAUCUAUUCACAGCCUGGCUAGGCUUGUUCUAGCUUUUCUGGGCUGCAGGCCUUUUCUCGGGGGCUGGUGGUGUUUGGUGCUGCUCUGCGGAAGUGUAGCCCCUCCAAAGGGCAAGCAGGCCUGUGCAGGGACAGCCCCUGCGGUGGUAGGCUUCAGGCAAUUGUUGAGGCCAGCCCUCCCAGAUGGCAGGCAGCCCCAGGUUCGGCGAGAGCGUAGCGGGUGGCGUGGGUGGGGGGAGGGAAUGCACUGGGAAGCACAGCUUUCUGCUAGCUAGCGGACCUGUAAGCUUGCUGUGGCAUGGGGGGUAUUCUAGGGGGACCUACCCCUUCUUCUCUCCCCUCCCCAGUACGGGCACAGACCAGGCUCUUCUCCCAGGUUCCCUCUGAGGCGGCUUUCCACUUCCCCGCCCCUAGAGUGUUGUUCCCUUCCUCUGUGACAGCUUUGUUUUCUAGUCUCCCAGGCAGUCUCUGCCCCGUCAAAUGGUUUCUAGACCUCCCAAGCAGUUUCCGCUCCACCCCGCCCCCCAGCCUGGGGACUAACCUCCUGGGCCGAGGUCUCGGUGCCCAGCCCCCACCCAGGCGUCUCAAUUUUUGGUGACUGUGCCCAUAGUUCAGAUGGUCCGUUCGGUUCUUGAUCGGCUUUUCCGUAGUCCAAAUUACUGCUACACUCUUCUCUGCAUCUGGAGAUUUCUCCGGUUUGUUUGAUCUUUCCCCCGGUAGGUGACUUUCCAUGGUGCAGGAACUCUUUCUCCUCUGCAGUUCCCUUUCGGGAGUGCCCGUCCCGCUUGGAUUCACCUUCUCUCACUCUCCUCU